CACCUCCUUACCCUCCAUUCACCCCCUUACUUCCCACCUGACAAAAGCAAGCCUCCCAAGGACAGCAACUGCACACAGCAGAAGAUACAAGGAGACCGGGAAUGUCCUCUCACAGCAAGGCUGGUAAAGGAAAAGAAUUCCAAGAACAGGUAAAAGAGUCAGAGACACCCCACCCCCUCACUCUCCCUGACAAGAGUCCCUCCCCCUAAAACACCAAGCCAACAACCAUAACAUAUAUGAAGAGUACUUAGCACAGAAUGAACGGGUGAUUUUUAUAUUUAUAAUUUUUAUAUGAUUGUUUAGCCUGAAUAUAUGUCUGUGUAACACGUGUGUGUAGGGGAGUCCAGAAAGGGCACCAGAUCCCCUGGAACUGAAUUUAUAAAUGGUUGUGGGCUGCUCUAUGGGUACAGGGAUCCUGUCUCCCACUUAAUCUCUGCAGCAUCUCUCCAGCCCAUGAGUGAUGUUGUAAGAAUCUCCGGUAGCAUCAAGAUGCUCUGGUGCAGAAGAGACCCAGUCUUGUAGGAACAUGGCCAUUCAUCUGAAAAACGCAGAUUCUCUUUCUUCACAAACUCUGAUUCUGAUACCCUCCUCGUCCGUCUUUUUGUCUUCUUACUUUACCUAAUUUCUCCCCCUGAAGACUGGUUCUCAACCUUCCUAACGUGGUGAGGCUUCAAUACAGUUCCUCAUGUUAUGUUUUGUUGCUACGAUGUAACUGUGAUUUUGUGAGUCAUAGUGUAAAUAACUGAUAUAUGCAGGAUGUCUGAUAUGCCACCCCCUGCAAGGGGGUUAUGUAGUGAGAAUUUUGGUUUCCUUAAAAAAAAUAAUAAUAAAGAAAACAAAAAUAAGAAUGUGCUUUCGUUUUAAUGCAGGUGUGGGAACAGGGCAGGGUUGUUGGCUAGAGCAUAGUAGGUUGUUUGCUGUUGGCUGUUGUUGGUUGUGGUUUGUUAAAAGGUCAUGCACAAAGAAGAAACAACAACAAGAAGAAAUUAGAUAUCCUGGUGGUGAAAAUCAAACUUGCCCCAAGAUGCCCUCAUCAGCAGAAAGUAGUCUAACAGUAACACGCCCCUUUCCUUUCUAUCCUUUUCUCUCUCCUGUCUGUUGUUCGGAAGGGUAGAGAAGGGUGGGACAAAGAAGAACUCAUGAAGUAGCAAGAGACAGCUACCCUGUUGUGACCCACAGGUUCAAAACCACAGCUUGAGAUGCUUGUCAUUCUAGAGCAGCAACUACCUUGUCAUUUCACGGAGAGGAGGGACAGGGAGUUCCCUGUCUCUUGGGAAUUGGAACCCAGACAGGGUGCGGGGAUAUUUUCUGCUACUACAACCCACCUGCCUUGGGCUCCUGCAACUAAAGGCAGAGCUGCAACAUGGCUCAAACCAGUUUCGACUGCUCCGGCUCAAAUGCUAGCGGGCCUCCUCAAGUUGCUGAGGAUGCUGGGAGCCAGUCGUCAUCAAAAGAAAGACCAAAAUGUGUCCAGUCACUGGGGAUGUAGGGAAGAAUGCUCUUUUUCCACUGUCAUGUCUUCAUUCCUCGGUGUGAAUUCGGAUCUCACGACGGGGCGUAAGAUGCCCUGGAAUUCACACUCCUCCUCGUGUCACCUUCUGAGUGCCUAGAACAUCGGCAUGAAUUCCCCAGCCUGGUGGUAAGAACCCAUUCCGUUGAAAUAACUAUAAUACAAUUACCACACCAAGAGUAGAUUAAAAAUUAUAUCAAUAACAUCAAAUACCCAAUCGGUAUUCAAUUUUCUCCAAGUUGCGUUCUUUUUAAGACGUUUUGUCAAAUCAGUCUCAAUAAGAUACAUACAUA